AGCGAACGCUGGCGGCAGGCCUAACACAUGCAAGUCGAACGAACCUUUCGGUGUUAGUGGCGUACGGGUGAGUAACACGUGGGAACGUGCCUUUAGGUUCGGAAUAACUCAGGGAAACUUGUUCUAAUACCGAAUGUGCCCUUCGGGGGAAAGAUUUAUCGCCUUUAGAGCGGCCCGCGUCUGAUUAGCUAGUUGGUUGAGGUAAUGGCUCACCAAGGCGACGAUCAGUAGCUGGUCUGAGAGGAUGAUCAGCAACAUUGGGACUGAGACACGGCCCAAACUCCUACGGGAGGCAGAAGUGGGGAAUCUUGCGCAAUGGGCGAAAGCCUGACGCAGCCAUGCCGCGUGAAUGAUGAAGGUCUUAGGAUUGUAAAAUUCUUUCACCGGGGACGAUAAUGACGGUACCCGGAGAAGAAGCCCCGGCUAACUUCGUG
rnacentral:rRNA from 1 species